GUGAAUGGCCUGGCUCUUCAUAAUGAUGUCAAGCAAAGGAAAACCAAGCAUGUCAUUUCCAACUGCAUGUAGAAAUUUACUGAGGACACCUCUGAUAGAAUUUUAGUGUUUAAGAACUGCACAAGGCAGGAAAACUAGGAGCCUAUUGCAUCACAACCAAAUAAAAUUGAAAAGUUUUCAGAUGAUUGUACACUGAGGAUUAAUCUUACUUCUCCAGUGAGAUACUGAUACAACAUAUGUGGGGAACAAAUCGGCAUAUCAUAAAUGCUCCUCAUCUUGACAGAUGCCUGCAAAAUUCCGUCACACCUUUGUGUGGACCUGUUUGGGUCUUUAAGAGAGAAGGUUUCAGCCUCUCAGGAGCAAAGAUUUAUAUCCAAGGAGUUCUAUUGGCCCGGCACCAGCGAUUAAAGUCUGCAAACUGUUGCAAACAGGUAUAUGAAGGUGACAAAAGCACAUGGGAAGAAGUACUUUAUUAAAGAAAAGUAACUGGGAAAUUACUCCGAGAAUCAAUCUAAAGCUAUUAUUAAAAGGGCUUACCCUGAGUUUGUCCUGACCUACCUAGAGGAACUAAAUGAAAGAGAGGAGGUGACCCAGACAGAAAACCGCAUUCACCAUGGGGCCUGGUCUGCAGCUCAUCAGGAGAUAGACAGCAGCGCAGCAGAAGAGGUCACAGUAUUAAGCCAGAGGCAGGUUCUGCAAAAAAAUGUCAGCAACCCCAAUCAGAAACAACUUUCAGGACCUUUGGACGCCUGUUUAAUGCCUGCAGAUCCCCUAGGGGAGACUACACAGCUGACAGUGGCACUGGUGAGGAAACUGGAAGAGAAACAUCCUAAGGCCCCAGCUCAAAGAUGGUUGUGAGAGGAGAAGCAUGAAGGGAGAAUGAAAUCUGACCCAUGGACACUUUCCAAAGUAGAGAGUCCCUUGUGGAACAAGAUGUUCUCCUGCAACUUAACAAAACACUGUUCAAGAUCAUGGUGGAAAGCUGCACAGAGCAGGUGGUAUAAAAGUUGUCAUCUUUUAAAUGUAUGUGUAACUUGUAUAACAUCAGUAAAAGAAAAGGUAAGCGUAUUGAUAGAGUACAGGCACAGCAGAAAAUCAGGAUGAAAAUACUUAGAGAUGGCUAGAAUAGUCAGAUCUCACUCAUGAUGUACAUCUAGAAUAAUCAUGUAAUUUUGCUAGUAUCUGUCUCAGAAUUUAUCUUCAAGUCUGGGGUUUAGGAUACAGACAGAGGGAAAAACCAUGACCAAGUCAUGACCAGAUCUUAAAAGUUCAGAAAGCAUCCUGGAGGACAUGAAGUUGGGAUCAAUGUUCAAAAUUAUCACAUUUCCUUCAAAAAAGAUGAAAUCCACCGCAGCAGUAUGACAGAAGAUACAUUAAAUCAGUCAGUGGACCCAUGAAGAGAGAAACUCCAUCUUUCUGCAGUAACAACAGAAAUUCAAAGACUGAUUUCUCUGGUUUGGAAGGUGAAAAUACCUUGCACAAGAAAUUCUGUCCUCCUUGUGGACUGAAAGAUUCUCACAGACUCUCUUGGAGUAGACCUCUGCAGCUAUGAACCAGAAAGCAGUAAAAAUAGUUCCAUAUGGAAAUGGAGUUGGCUACCAAAAUGGGCGGUUUGUAUUGAGCAAGGUGUUCCCCUUGGAAGGUAACCAUCCCCACGGUCAACUGUAACCACCAGUCUCUGCUGCUACCCACUCCCUCCUUGUGUAUUUUUCCACAUUCUUAUACAUGCUCUGUAAAACUUUAGCAACUUAAAUACUUGCAGUAUUACUAAUAAGCCCACCAAGGGGAAAUACAUGAUCAGUAUUAAAGAGCUUACCACCUCAUUCCUCUUGGGAUGUAAAGAAGCCCAGGCUAUGAAACAUCUCAGGGAACCAUGCCUGUGGGGGGCUAACCUAUCACCCAGGGUGUCAUGACUUGGCUUGCUUGGGGAAGGAGCCGCAGAUUUAAUCUGUAAACACUAGUAAUUCUAUGGGAUUGUCCAGGAACAGACCUAUAGGUAUUGCAAAGGUGGCUCUCGGUAACUUUAAGCUGUUUCUUGGUGGCCAAGUGUCUCUAAUCAGUGAAGUCUAUUUCCUGAUUGCUCAUCAUAAUCACUGGUUUCAUGGAUUUAAAAGUAAUCUAAGAAACUCAUCGUAAAGCAGUUCAGGGGUGUCCAUCUGAAUAUUGAGCAACUUCUGAGAAGUAUGACUUGUCCCAUGCUUUUCAACAGAAUAUUUGAACGCUAGAGAGUAUGUCAGCUAAAGCUGUAGCAACCAUGUCAAGCAUGCGUGCUUCUCCCUGUUUGUUAAAUAUAGAGACAGAUAUUGAGACGAGUGGGAAAAGCAUUGCAACAGCUAGUUCUUGAACAUCUGCAAGGUGAUGGAAACACAGAAUUUAACUUCUUGUCAACGAUAGUCCAGGACGCCAUCAUGGGCCGUGAAUGAGCAGUAGAAACAGGCAGGAGAGGCAUGUGAAGAACAAGCUAAAAUCCACAAUGCUGCUGAAGGGAUGACUGUAAUGGACUCUGCAGAGGGAUGUCAGUCAUGGAAAUUCAGAUGAGAACUACAAGCGUCCCAAAAUAUUAUGCGGUUUAUUGAAAGUUUUGAAACUGAACUCAUGCAAUCAAUGCCAGGUAUCAGAUGCCACAAACAAAUGGCUCGAAAGUCAGCAGCUUGCUCCCUACUUCAUACAAUACCAACUAAUUACUUAAUUACACUUAAGGCAACAUGGAUAGACAGUAUUGGAGUGGAGAGACCAGUAAUGAAGUUUUUCCUUCUAUGGUAACUACAAAACUGCUAUGCGCAAGAAGAAUAGUCCUUUUGGGGGUUUGUCUCUUUGUCCUCAUUAGUUUUAAAUGUGUAAUGACCUGUUUUAUAGAGGGAGAUGAGAUUUCUGACCAGCUGUGCUCUGGGUUGGCUUGUAAGAUACUCCUGAGAGUGGGACAACCAGAAUCAGCCCCCCCUGCCCCCGACUUCUUCAAUGACUAUUUUAACAGCUAAGCUACAACGUAGAAAUAAAGGAUGCAAAGCACCUCCCUUGUUUUUGGAUAAAAGUGGUGUGGGUGAUUUCUCUUGUGCUCCAUUCUGCUGUCCAUUCGUGAAAAGCCCGCUCAAAGAGAUGCACAGACCUGGGACCUGCUGGGUUUGACCUGGAGAUUGGAUAUUAUCUCAGGACUGAAGAAAGCUAAAUGGGAAGUUACUUCCAUGCACACAUUGAAGCUGAAUUGUAGGGACUUAAGGAAAAAAAAAAUCACUCCAAAAGAUACAACUGGAAUUGAAUCAAGGACCUACAGAGUGAAGCAUCCGGUGUCAUGACCCAUAUGUCACUUCCUUGGUUUAUGGGUGACUUCCUUGGCUUUCAGUGCCUUCCAUAGGCAAUGCUUUUGUUAUACACCAAAACAUAUAUCUUGAUAUUCCCCAUGAUUUCUGUUGAAGUGCAGUGACAGAUGCACACCUGAAUUCCUCCUGUAACUCUGAACAUCUCCAACAAGUUACUUUUUAACCCGCCACACAAUUUCUGCUUCAUAGUGAUUAGAUCCAUGCCUAUCUCAUUGGGUUUUGUUUCUUCUCCCCAUUUCUUCUUCCAUUUCAUAGACAAUGUUCAUUCCUCUUCUGCCCAUCUUUAAGCAGCCUUUACCUUGUUGCAGCUGUAUUCUCAUCCUCAGAUAAUCAACCUCUCAUAAAAAUGAUAAAAUUCAAUAAAAGGUGAUAAUAAAGGUAUGAUUGUGUGCUAGUUAUCACUGUAGCUAUAACUAGCAACAGUAGGGUUUCCUGGCAUAUCAUGCUUUCUUCAAAAGCUGCCAAAAUCACUUGUUUUUUAUGCUUUUACUAGCAUAUCGAUGGGCUAAGAAUGUGUACACUUCAGCUAACUUUAAUGAGCAGCAUAAAUGCUAGCAUGCUGCUUGGAGAAUUAAUAGAUGGGAUAAGAUGAUAAAACAGAUAUAUCUCUUCUGCAAAGCUAUGAUGUUGGGAAGAAUUGUGAUUCACUGUAUCAAAAAUAAAUUCAAAAAAAGAAGUAAAUCUAGAAAAGGAAAGCCAAAAAUAAAAGAGGGAAAAGAAGUCUGUCUUUUGAGUUUUAGAAUGUUGAAAAGUUUGUCUGGCAUUGAUGUGCUAUAUAAAAUGAAUGUAAACACCAUUUAGUACUACUUCAAACAAAAACAGCGGUGUGAAUUUCAAAUUGUGAAUAUAACAUCUUGUGUGCUUUGAGCUAUUUUAAGUGUUACUCUGUAUAUUAAUAGGAGACAGAUCCUACAAAUGAUAAAAAGCACAUGUGCAAUGUAUUAUUCCACCCUUUUGGAGCAGGAAAAAUUUUUUACUUGCAUUUCAAGUGCAAAUUUUCUCGCAUUUUAAAAGAACUUUUGAGACUUCUUAAUAUCGUGUAUUAUUAAAUUUUGAAUGCUAGUAAUUUUCAAAUUAAUUCCUUAAUUAGAUACAAAUUCCUGUAUUGAUGUUCUUUAAAACUUUAGAUUAAAUGUAUUGUAUUAGCAUUAAUAGUGUAUGAUUUGGUUACUUGAAAGAUUCUCUGUUCUUUGUAUACCUUGUUAUAGGACAAAGAAUAUAGGUUUAAGAUGAGGACAUGCAGACUUAUCUAGGAGUUUUGCUUAAAACAUUCUACAAGAGCUAUAUAAGCUAUAGUUUAAAAAUACAAAUUCCAGAAUUGACCAAACCCUGGAAUUUGUGUGAUAAAGAGAAGAUUCAAUGUUUUUCUUUUGACUGUAUGUAAUGCAAAUUUGGAUAAUCUUGAUGGUUACUUGUUCGGAUUUACUAAUUUAUGUAGUUAAAUAUUUUUCAUUUUUCUUUAUGAUAAGCAUGAUGAGAGAAAUAGCAGAAUUUGGACAAUUAGUUCUUCUAAUUUGUUUUAAAUCUUCUAUUUCAUUGUUUGUAUAACGGUAUCACUAUAUAAAUUGUUAAAGUAAAAACAUUGUGAUUCAGAAUAGAGCAUCAAAAAUCUAGCUCUGGUCAAGCUACAGAGAAAUUAAACCUUUUAAUCUGCUUCUGUUAAUUUUUUAAAGUUUCAUUAACGCAGGGAGGUAUGACAUAUGAUUUUUGAUGCUUUUGCAUUGUACAUACUAUUCUGUGUCCCACAGUUUUAGACAUAACAUAAAUUAUAAUUGAAUUAUAAUGCUAAAAAAAAUUAUAGAUUUAAAAGCUGCCAUCUUCAUACUGUAAGUAACCACUGCUGUCACUGAAAGUAGUAGAUGAAUAAAUCUGAGUCUUUUAACUUCCCUGUUGUGAAAGCCAAGGUUUUAAAACAAUGCUUACCUGGCAUUAUCAUCUCCAAUGUUCUAUUAAAACAAACAAACAAACAAUGGGGAAUUACUGCACGUUAUGUUUCAGUCUUUUAUCUAUUUAACAGAACAAUAAGGUAGUAGACUUAGUAGUGUGUUGUUACUGUUAACGCACAAAAUCCCUAUACUGUGCUUGAAUUAAGG